rnacentral:rRNA from 1 species
GACGAACGCUGGCGGCGUGCUUAACACAUGCAAGUCGAACGGAAAGGCCCUGCUUUUGUGGGGUGCUCGAGUGGCGAACGGGUGAGUAACACGUGAGUAACCUGCCCUUGACUUUGGGAUAACUUCAGGAAACUGGGGCUAAUACCGGAUAGGAGCUCCUGCUGCAUGGUGGGGGUUGGAACGUUUAGGCGGUUGGGGAUGGACUCUGGGCUUACCAGCUUGUUGGUUGGGGAGUGGCUUACCAAGGCUUUGGCGGGUAGCCGGCCUGGGAGGGGGGCCGGCCACAUUGGGACUGAGAUACGGCCCAGACGCCUACGGGAGGCAGCAGUGGGGAGUAUGGCACAAUGGGCGGAAGCCUGAUGCAGCAGCGCCGCGUGCGGGAUGACGGCCUUCGGGUUGUAAACCGCUUUAGCCUGUGACGAAGCGUGAGUGACGGUAAUGGGUAAAGAAGCACCGGCUAACUACGUG